GGUCAAGGAACCAUGGCAACAUCUGCUGCAGGCAGACAUGCUGUCACCUCCCGAGAAGCACUGCAUACACAAACGUGUUAGUUAACCUCAACAGCAACAUCAGGAGAGAGUAAAUACACCUUUUAUUCAGAAGCUAAAAGUAAGCAAUAUGAGAGAAAACAACAGAGCCACACCAAGAAAAUACAUUUGCAUCCCUAGUAAAAAAAUAAAAUUGGUUUACAGGAUUCCCAAUGAAACUUCAGUCAUAAUUUAGUGCUGAUGUUAAAGUAAAAUUCCUACAGCAAUUCUUAUUUGAUUCUUUGAGUGCUAUUUUGGAAUUUAUGGGUUUCUUGUUACUGGACAAUGAUGGCUAGCUGUUAGAUACUUUUUUGUUGGUCCUGAUGGGAAAUUCUUUUGGUUUUGUGUUUUUUGUUGGACUAUAAAAUUGAGAUUCUGCACAAAUGGACUAAAAUUGAACUAGGAAAACAGUCAUGACAGUCAAAAAACGAAUUAAAUAAUAACUUCAAUGGCUUUAAGUGUUGGUGGUAACCUCCAGUGAAUACACUAGAUCAGGGGUGUCAAACUCAAUUCCUGGAGAGCCCUGCAGAGUUUUGUUCCAACCCUGCUCCAACACACAUACCAUGUAGUUUUCAAAUAAGUCGGAAGGAUCAGGUGUGUUUAAUGAGGGUUGAAUCUAAACUCUAGGGCUCCGGCCCUCCAGGAAUUGAGUUUGACAACCCUGCACUAGAGGAUAACCACACAACUAGCAACUGACAAGUUGGACAUUAACUGCUGAAAAGAAAAGAACUGCAUGUUCUCCUAUUGCUCUGGAACAAAACAAAUGCAUAAACAUUAAUAAUAUCCCACAGCCAAAAUACUGCUAAGCAGAAAUUUUUUGUCUGAUGGGUAACGCCUGUCAUUUUAAUGUCGCCAACAGCAAUGGCUUUUUGUCUGAAACAUCAGGGAUGAAGUAAUUAUAAACAAAUCACAAGGCUGAAUAUAAAUGUAGGCUUUACAUAAUACUUUUGAUGUCCUACAGGGACAUUUUAUCCUGUUGUAAAUUGUAAUAGCCCUACUGGGAAUAUUGUUUUUCCUGUUUUGUUUUCUGUUGCCAUACUAACACAAUUAUGAUUCUGGUUCUAAAUGAUUAGUUCUGAAUCAUCAUCAUCAUCAUCAUCAUCACACACACACACACACACACACACACACACCUUUAGGACAUUGACUAUAGGAAUGAAUUGAAUCCUGUACAUCAGGUUUUAGGAUAUUGACUAGGGAUUAACUGGGAAUACAAUCAAUCAGGAAGGUCAAAAAAGAUAUGUUCCAUGUAUAUUUAGAUAAUGCAUACUUCCAGUAUGUUUACCUUCUAAGAUGUUCUUUUUGCCCAAUUGGUAACUUAUUUUUGUUUUGUGCCCUGCUGGAAUACUCUAAGAAAUCAAAAUCCUUUAGAUUCCAAAUAUUCCAAUGGGAAUCCUAUAUACACAAACCUUUGGGAUUUAGACAAGGGAUGAGCUGAGAAUACAAUCAGGAGGGUCAAAAAAAAAAAAAAUGCAUGUAUAUUUAAUCCUUUCAGUGCGUUUACCUUCACAUAGGUUCGUUUUGUAGUUUAUGAACAACUGUAGGAUUUCGGUGUUGGCUGUAACCUCCAAUUAGUAAAAAGUACAUUCGGCAACAGCUGGUCACCAUUAUAUAGAAAUAAUCAAAUCCAAGUUCAGCGUGCCGAAUGCGUGAUUGUCACUGCAAAACUGCAACUCGGUUCCUCUCCUUUGCUAUUUGCUGCUCGCUUCUCCAGGGAAUAUGUCCUCGUAGGCAGGAUCUGCCCGAGAGUCACCAGGAUGCCCGAGUAGAACGCGCCGGCCGCGGUGGCCAGAUGGAAGUGCGCUCGCACCCUGGAGCCCAACGCGAUGCAUCUGAAUCCCACGACCACAGCGCUCACGGCACACACGAAGAGUAGACUGCUGGAAACGAUGGUGCACAGUCCUUUGCCACUCAGCUUCAUUAUAAUCCUCCUCUGCCUCCUUCAUCCUCCUUUGUCUUCCUCGUCAGCUCCUCUGGAAGCGCUGUCAGUUGGUGACAUGACUCGCCGGUGGUUGCGCUUCGGUUCUAGGAUCUCCGACUCACUCUUAUUAAUUAUGGAUAGGCUCCUUCUGCGGUAACAGCCCCCUAAUUCCAACCCAUAGGUUGUGGUCACCUUCAUGACCCUUACGCUCCAUCCAUCCAGUCCCCUAAGGCGAUGAAGCGCAUCCCUCGCGUUUGAUGCUGGAGAGGGUGUCCUCCCUCUCUCGCCGUGCGUUCAUGCAGCACUGAGACCGACCUUGGGCUGGAGGCUGGAGAUCAACGGGAAGCGAUCCGACCCCCUACUGGUCUCACUUACCAACUACUAAAUGUGUCACAGAGGCUCGCGG
ensembl:lncRNA